rnacentral:misc_RNA from 1 species
UUGUGUCGAUCAUAACCCUGUUCUGCUUUGUUAUUUACCAAAAACAUAAGAUGAAUUUGUUAAUUACAGAGAAAAUGUUGAGGAUUUUUCUGUAACUUAACAAGUUCAAACUUUUAAUUCGACUGGCUUCACUUUCUUUCUUUAACUCACAGAGACGUACUUUUCUUGCUCUGGCUUCUAUAUAUCAACAUGAUACUCACUCAAAAGCCUUCCCCCUUCUUUCUCUCUCAUACUAGCAGUGGCAAUAGUAGUAGGAACUAGCAAGGAAUGGAGCGGAGGAAAGCAGCAGGUGACAUGAAGCGAAGCGAGUCAGAGCUGGCCCUCCAAGAGGUUAUCAAGAAAACCCAAAUUAAAGGUGAAGAAAUGAAGGAAAAUCGUGACAACUCUUUUUCUGCUGAGUUUGAAGGCUUCUGUGGCGAUGAUCUCUCUUUCUGCUUCAAAACUCUGGAAACGAUAAAUGGUUUGUCAAGUUGUGGGCUUCCUGAAUCAUUUGAGUUAUGGUCUCAAAAUACAAGCCCCAAGCAAUCCUGCAUUUCAUCAGCACUCAUUGAUGCCCAGUCAUCAGUUUUUGGUAUGUUCUUCUAGCAUGUAUGCGUAGACAAUGUCCUAAUGAAGAAAUUAUCUGCUUAUUCCUAAUUAGUAACAUGUCAACAAAGUGGAAAUUUGAUCAGUUGGGAGUCCAUUUUCGGCAAAUAAUAAUCCAAACCAAGGAAGGGUAAGUAGCAGUGGUUCCUCAGAGGAUGAAGAUGUGAAGAUAGAAGCUGGUCCUUGUGAACAGAGCACCAAUCCUACUGAUUUAAGACGCAUUAGAAGGAUGGUUUCAAACCGGGAGUCGGCUAGACGAUCAAGAAAAAGAAAACAGGCACAUUUGCAGGAGCUUGAAUCGCAGGUUGACGAACUUUCAGGAGAGAAUGCGUCUUUGUACAAGCAGCUUUCAGAUGCUACUCAGCAAUAUCGGGAUGCUAAUACAAAUAAUCGAGUGCUUAAAUCAGAUGUAGGGGCUUUGAGAGCCAAGGUGAAGCUGGCUGAAGAUAUGGUUACUCGAGGUUCCUUAACCUAUAGCUUGAAUCAACUUGUUUAAAAUCAUCUAACUUCACCUCAACCGAUGAAUCUUCGAAUCUCACCAACCAUCACAAUCAAUGGAGAUGAUGCCUCGUAUGCUGCAGCUGCUGGAUUGACAGUUUCAGGACCUCGGCUUGGAAAUGCUGAUAAUUUUAGUAAUGCCAAUCUCAGGAAUAGUGUAAUAAGUGAUGCUGUAAGCUGUGUUUCGGAGCUCUGGCCUUGAUUGUCCAAUUUGGUGUGGUUCCUGUCAUCUUUAUUUAUGUUAAUAUUGUUGUUGUGAGUCAUUCUCGCUUAAACUCGGUUUAUAUGAACCAAUAUAAAAUUAGUGAGUUUCGUAUUGAAUAUAUUUCUUAGCCUGCAUUGCAU